UACGAAGGGGGCUAGCGUUGCUCGGAAUCACUGGGCGUAAAGGGUGCGUAGGCGGGUCUUUAAGUCAGGGGUGAAAUCCUGGAGCUCAACUCCAGAACUGCCUUUGAUACUGAAGAUCUUGAGUUCGGGAGAGGAGCGUGGAAUUCCCAGUGUAGAGGUGAAAUUCGUAGAUAUUGGGAAGAACACCGGUGGCGAAGGCGGCGCUCUGGACCGAGACUGACGCUGAGGCGCGAAAGCGUGGGGAGCAAACAGG
rnacentral:rRNA from 1 species